GGGGACGCGGGGAGGUGGGCCAUAGGUGCUGCCCUUCCUGUCUUCCCGUUGCUUGGCCUCUGCGCGGGGCUCCAUGAACCCCUGUGCAGGAUCAGAUGAUGGUGACUGGAUGUGACAGGCUGCCCUAUUCCUUUGGCAGCCACUAUGGAAAUAAACCCUCAAGAAGGAAUUUUUUCCCACAAGAUCAUUUUCAGAAAGGGAAGAAUUUGACAGCAUGAAGACGUUGGAAUUGGUUCUGUGGGAGGACAAAAGUACCAGGGAAAGCAGAAGUAAAGUUGAG